GUCCCUGUAGCGCAAUGGAUAGCGCGUUCGACUUCAAAUCUGCAGGUCGUGGGUUCAAAUCCCACCAGGGAUG